AUUGAACGCUGGCGGCAGGCCUAACACAUGCAAGUCGGACGAGUGGCGGACGGGUGAGUAAUGUCUGGGGAUCUGCCUGAUGGAGGGGGAUAACUACUGGAAACGGUAGCUAAUACCGCAUACCAUCUGAUGAACCCAUAUGGGAUUAGCUUGUUGGUGGGGUAACGGCUCACCAAGGCGACGAUCCCUAGCUGGUCUGAGAGGAGGACCAGCCACACUGGGACUGAGACACGGUCCAGACGCCUACGGGAGGCAGCAGUGGGGAAUAUUGCACAAUGGGCGCAAGCCUGAUGCAGCCAUGCCGCGUGUAUGAAGAAGGCCUUCGGGUUGUAAAGUACUUUCAGCCGGGAGGCGUUACCGGCAGAAGAAGCACCGGCUAACUCCGUGCCAGCAGCCGCGGUAAUAC
rnacentral:rRNA from 1 species